rnacentral:sRNA from 1 species
GACUAGCCCCGAUGGGAGCGGCAUCCUUGCUGUGCGGGGUUCGCACAGCAAGAUAUAGCGUACAGCGGGACGACUC